UGCGUAGACGGCAUGUUAAGUUCGUUGUUAAAGGCUUCAGCCUAACUGGAGUAUCGCAAUGAAAACUGGCAAGCUAGAGGAUGAGAGAGAGAAGUGGAAUUCCCGGAGUAGCGGUAAAAUGCGUGGAUCUCGGGAGGAACACCAAUGGCGAAGGCAGCUUCUUGGCUCAUAUCUGACGUCGAGGCACGAAAGCGUGGGUAGCAAACA
rnacentral:rRNA from 1 species